rnacentral:rRNA from 1 species
AAACUUUCAACAACGGAUCUCUUGGCUCUGGCAUCGAUGAAGAACGCAGCGAAAUGCGAUAAGUAAUGUGAAUUGCAGAACUCAGUGAAUCAUCGAAUCUUUGAACGCACAUUGCGCCCGCCAGCAUUCUGGCGGGCAUGCCUGUCCGAGCGUCAUUU